GCUGACGCGGCCUGUCACGCACCGGAGGCCCGGUGCCGGUCCUCGGGACCGGCACCGGGCCUCCGGUGCGUUGCGUCUGGUGCGCGCCGGU
rnacentral:miRNA from 1 species